rnacentral:lncRNA from 1 species
AUGCUCCGCCAGGUCCUCUUGGAGUCCUUUUUGUGGUUUUUGUUCACUCCUGGCUUCAGUGUGCUUUUGCUUCCCAGUUCCAUUCCUGACACCAACCGUCUUAGGUCAGGCCCUCGAAGCAGGCCCCAGGUGAGGAUUUGUGUGCACGCGAUACAAGGAUACUGGCAGGGAAUGGCGGGUGCAAGGCAGGACUGGGGAGGAAUGCAGGCCAAGGCUCCCAGAGGGUGGCCUCAGCCUGACCCCAUGGGCUGUAAGUGUGCUCUGGGCCCUCCCUCCACGCAGCUAAGGCAGCUCCAGAGCCCUGAGGACCAUGCCAGAAGGAACCACAGGGCUCGCUUUGAAGCAAAAGCGUACCAAGGCCUGGGAGCACAAGACAUGGUAAGAAGGAUCAGGGGGGUGAGUGUGGGUGGGGCACUGGCAUUUUCUGCUACCAGCUUUACUACAGAAAUGCUUUUGGAGUCGCUUUGCUCUCACAGUAAGAAUGAAUUCAGGCCCCAAACAGAGAACCAAGAGGGCACAAGUCUGUUUCUACAAAACAGAAGGCACACGUACCCAGCCUUGCCUCUGAGGGCCAGGGUGCACGGGAAGGGGGAUACCCAGUCCUGCCUUCCAGAACAUCCCCUUUGGCUGUGGAGAGAAGCCACCUGUGGACUUUUUAAACCCCAGGCCAGUAAGCCCCCAGGCGGCCUAUUAGUACAGGGCAGAAGGGAAGUACGUGACCCCGGAGAUUACAGACUGGCAAGGUCCCUCGGAACCCAAGAGGUGAAAAAAAUAAGUCAAAAUAGAAAACUGGCAUUGACAAGUUCAAGACACAAUUUGCUGCUUCAAAUUACACUUCCUUCAGUUUUGCUUGGGCUCGAAGUUGUUUUCAAGCCAGGCAGAUUUCCAAGGGUCAAAAGCUGUUUUGAGAGCAACCACAUUCAUUGGUUAAUUUGUUGUCUUUCUUUCAGUACACAUUUAGGGAAGGUCUGCUCUAUAAACAGACAUUGGGCUGAGCACAGGGUUCGUGAAAAAUAG